rnacentral:rRNA from 1 species
UACGUAGGCAGCAAGCGUUGUUCGGAAUUACUGGGCGUAAAGCGUGCGUAGGCGGUUGUCUAAGUUUGGUGUGAAAUCUCCCGGCUUAACUGGGAGGGUGCGCCGAAAACUGGGUGACUGGAGUGUCGGAGAGGUAAGCGGAAUUCCUGGUGUAGCGGUGAAAUGCGUAGAGAUCAGGAGGAACACCUGUGGUGUAGACAGCUUACUGGACGAUAACUGACGCUGAGGCACGAAAGCGUGGGUAGCAAACAGG